GGCUCCGUAGCUCAACGGCAGAGCAGUUGCCUCUUAAGCAAUUGGUUACAGGUUCAAAUCCUGUCGGAGUCACCA
rnacentral:tRNA from 1 species